CCUACGGGAGGCAGCAGUAAGGAAUAUUGGUCAAUGGACGCAAGUCUGAACCAGCCAUGCCGCGUGAAGGAUUAAGGCCCUCUGGGUUGUAAACUUCUUUUAUAGGGGACGAAAAAAGGGCAUUCUUGCUCACUUGACGGUACCCUAGGAAUAAGCACCGGCUAACUCCGUGCCAGCAGCCGCGGUAAUACGGAGGGUGCAAGCGUUAUCCGGAUUUACUGGGUUUAAAGGGUGCGUAGGUGGGUUGGUAAGUCAGUGGUGAAAUCUUCGAGCUUAACUCGGAAACUGCCAUUGAUACUAUCAAUCUUGAAUCAUCUAGAGGUAAGCGGAAUAUGUCAUGUAGCGGUGAAAUGCUUAGAUAUGACAUAGAACACCAAUUGCGAAGGCAGCUUACUAUGGAUGCAUUGACACUGAGGCACGAAAGCGUGGGGUACUACAACGAGUAUAGUACUACCCGUAGGUACGUACCGACCGUACCCGUAAACGUAGUAGGUAUACGUACGACUAUUUGUAGUAUAUAACUAAGUAAGUGUGUGAGACGAAACGACUAAUUAAAGUUACCUACCCCUACCCGUAGGGAACGGUUACCGGACCGACCGUAAGGUUAACGAAACCGUACGAAAGUAGUAAGUUACGGACGGUCGUAGAGACGUUACGACCGACGGACGACGACGGAGGGAGGAGG
rnacentral:rRNA from 1 species